AAUUUCUUUCUAGUGAAACUGUGGAAGUGACCUUUGCUUCUCCCCGUGCUGUGGGUCAGUCUCGAGCUUCCCUGGACAUCUACAAACGCUGCAGCUGCUAACGGAGACCACAGAGGUGAUGGAGAGAUGUUGUUUGGAAAAAGGCCUGCUCUGUUGGCGCUGGGGGAGGCAGGAGCUGGGCGAUGUGCUCUGAGUGGUGACAGAUUACUGGAGGUUAAGAAGGUGGAUUUUUACCCGAUGGACUUGGCAGCUCUCCUGCAGGUCUAUGCACUCAGUAUUGAUCUUGCUGCAAGAUGAAUAGUGAUAUGGAUUUUUCUUUUUUUUUUAAUUCUUUUUUGGGCACCUCUAAAUAUGGCUGGCAUUCAUGAGAGUCUUGCCUAAGGACUGGUAUUAAUCUAAACUAAUCAAG
rnacentral:lncRNA from 1 species